UACGUAGGGGCCUAGCGUUGUCCGGAUUCACUGGGUUUAAAGGGUGCGUAGGCGGGUUGUUAAGUCAGUGGUGAAAUCUCAGAGCUUAACUCUGAAACUGCCAUUGAUACUAAUGAUCUUGAAUAUUGUGGAGGUAAGCGGAAUAUGUCAUGUAGCGGUGAAAUGCUUAGAUAUGACAUAGAACACCCAUUGCGAAGGCAGCUUACUACGCAUAUAUUGACGCUGAUGCACGAAAGCGUGGGGAUCAAACAGG
rnacentral:rRNA from 1 species